GAGUUUCGACGCGAGAAUAAUUCAAGUUUCUAAAUUACAUUGCUACGUAAAAAAACUAAAUUUAAAAGAAUAAUAAACUGAUUUAUAUAAAUUCAAUCUCGAAUCUUUAGCGUACCCUAAAUUUCUGAAUGUAGUUUGAAUAAAUAAUUGAAUACGACGUUCUUACGUCUAUUGCUAUUGCCAACAGUUCAUUAAAACUUUAUUCACAAAGAUAUUGUAGGUUAAAGAUUUUAGAUUGAACUUAAAUUAAUCAAUUCAAUUUUAUUCAACAUAUAUUGAAUCUUGAAAUAUUCUGGUUGGCGGAGAAAAUACUCACGGCGAACUGUCAUGUUCUCCUAACAUACAAAACCGUCAGUUCGUGCCGUCAGCCCUGCGGUAUAAGGUUGUGUAAUCUGUGCACAUAGGUUAUAAACUACUGUCUGAGCACAACUAAUAUAAAUGUUAUAAAUAUAUUUUAGUAGCGAGGACCGCGUUCAAAAGCUUAUGUUGCAAAAGUACUGCUGGGCACAGCAUUAGGGCUUCAUUUUGGUAUCUACUUUGUUAAGCCAUUUCUUCUACCAAAGCCACCGCCUGCAGGACAUAACGGGAAUAUAUCCAAUUCUCGCCAAAAUUAACUAAGGUUUAUUAUGCAUAUUCGCAGACCCCGCGGCCUUACUGGAAUCCAAAUUGGUUUGGCAACUGUGCUAGGCAUUGCAGGCGGUAUCUACAUUUGGCAGCCACUUUUUAAACAAUUUACUGCUCCAGGUGACAACCAGUCAGUUAAGGGGACUACAGAUAAGUAAUUAAAAUGUCUUACAAGAAAUGGGUGGCUAGACAGAAAGGAAAUCCACUCUUGCUUGGUGUUGCUGCACUUGGAUUUAUCACAGGCUCUCUACUUGUAUACAGAGGUGUAAUAAAUCCAUGGUUUAAGAAGAGAAGGCUGGAGGAAAAUGAAAGAUAUGCACAAAUUAUUAUUCAGAAGGAUAAGGGCCGACAACAGCAAACUUAAUGAAUGUCCACUUCACCUUCUUUAUAAAUAGAUUGCAUUUAUAGAAAAAAUAUUUGUUAGAUUUUAAUGUUUCAUUGUUAAAAUAAAAUCAAACAUGAAACACUGGAUUGUUAUCUAGAUGUUUUUUUAUUUAGCAUUCUAAUAAACAUGGGUAAUAUGUAA